GGCAUCUAGUUUCAGGGGUUGUAAUGAAAAAUUCAAAUUAGGGUUUAGCCUGCGUUCUCGUCUACAUAUACGAUGUUUGAUUUUCAUGGACGCCGCAGCCUGCUCUAAUACAGUAACUUUAGGGCAAGAUGAGAUAUCCGAUUCAGUGUCCAACCAUCAAUCCACUCAGGGUAUACAUUGAUCUCACUCUAGUCCCAGGAUCAGAUCAUAACAUGUUGAUCGUUCAUAGCUUAUCUCUCAGUGGUGAAGAAAAGGUGGGAGACGCCUUUGGCAUCCUGAGAAUCAGUGACUAUGGCACCAUCCACGCUACUGCACCUAUAUGAAAG